CUUUACGGCGGGCCGGGCGGGGCUAGCUUCGGCUGGGCCGGCCGUAUCGUCCGGUUUUCUCACCCCCGUUGUCUGGCCCGCCACCUCA
rnacentral:antisense_RNA from 1 species